AGAGUUUGAUCCUGGCUCAGAACGUACGCUGGCGGCACGCCUAACACAUGCAAGUCGAACGAAGUAGCAAUACUUAGUGGCAGACGGGUGAGUAACAUGUAGGUAUCUGCCCUUUGGCCUGGAAUAACACGAGGAAACUUGUGCUAAUACCGGAUAAGUCUUUACGGAGAAAGCUUUAUGCACCAUUGGAUGAGCCUGCACUUGAUUAGUUUGUUGGUGGGGUAAUGGCCUACCAAGACUGUGAUCAAUAGCUGAUUUGAGAGGAUGAUCAGCCACAUUGGGACUGAGACACGGCCCAAACUCCUACGGGAGGCAGCAGUGGGGAAUCUUGCACAAUGGAGGAAACUCUGAUGCAGCGAUGCCGCGUGAGUGAAGAAGGCCUUUGGGUUGUAAAGCUCUUUCGUCGGGGAAGAAAAUGACUGUACCCGAAUAAGAAGGUCCGGCUAACUUCGUGCCAGCAGCCGCGGUAAUACGAAGGGACCUAGCGUAGUUCGGAUUUACUGGGCUUAAAGAGUUCGUAGGUUGUUGAAAAAGUUGGUGGUGAAAUCCCAGAGCUUAACUCUGGAACUGCCAUCAAAACUUUUCAGCUAGAGUAUGAUAGAGGAAAGCAGAAUUUCUAGUGUAGAGGUGAAAUUCGUAGAUAUUAGAAAGAAUACCAAUUGCGAAGGCAGCUUUCUGGAUCAUUACUGACACUG
rnacentral:rRNA from 1 species